rnacentral:rRNA from 1 species
AGAGUUUGAUCCUGGCUCAGGAUGAACGCUGGCGGUAUGCUUAACACAUGCAAGUCGAACGGAAUCCUUAGGGAUUUAGUGGCGGACGGGUGAGUGACGCGUGAGAAUCUGCCUUCAGGUUCGGGACAACCACUGGAAACGGUGGCUAAUACCGAAUGUGCAGCAAUGUGAAAAAUUUAUUGCCUGAAGAUGAGCUCGCGUCUGAUUAGCUAGUAGGUGUGGUAAGAGCGCACCUAGGCGACGAUCAGUAGCUGGUCUGAGAGGAUGAUCAGCCACACUGGGACUGAGACACGGCCCAGACUCCUACGGGAGGCAGCAGUGGGGAAUUUUCCGCAAUGGGCGAAAGCCUGACGGAGCAAUACCGCGUGAGGGAGGAAGGCUCUUGGGUUGUAAACCUCUUUUCUUGGGGAAGAAAAAAAUGACGGUACCCAAGGAAUCAGCAUCGGCUAACUCCGUGCCAGCAGCCGCGGUAAUACGGAGGAUGCAAGCGUUAUCCGGAAUUAUUGGGCGUAAAGCGUCCGCAGGUGGCACUUCAAGUCUGCUGUCAAAGGUCGGGGCUUAACCCCGGGAAGGCAGUGGAAACUGACAAGCUAGAGUGCCGUAGGGGUAGAGGGAAUUCCCGGUGUAGCGGUGAAAUGCGUAGAGCUCGGGAAGAACAUCGGUGGCGAAAGCGCUCUACUGGACGGCAACUGACACUCAGGGACGAAAGCUAGGGGAGCGAAUGGGAUUAGAUACCCCAGUAGUCC